UACGGGGGGGGCAAGCGUUGUUCGGAAUUACUGGGCGUAAAGGGUUCGUAGGUGGCCAACUAAGUCAUACGUGAAAUCCCUCAGCUUAACUGGGGAACUGCGUCUGAUACUGGUUGGCUUGAGUGCAGGAGAGGAAAGCAGAAUUCCUGGUGUAGAGGUGAAAUUCGUAGAUAUCAGGAGGAACACCGGUGGCGAAGGCGGCUUUCUGGACACUAACUGACGCUGAGACGCGAAAGCGUGGGGAGCAAACAGG
rnacentral:rRNA from 1 species